rnacentral:rRNA from 1 species
AUUGAACGCUGGCGGCAUGCCUUACACAUGCAAGUCGAACGGUAACGCGGGGCAACCUGGCGACGAGUGGCGAACGGGUGAGUAAUGUAUCGGAACGUGCCCAGUAGUGGGGGAUAGCCCGGCGAAAGCCGGAUUAAUACCGCAUACGACCUAAGGGUGAAAGCGGGGGAUCGCAAGACCUCGCGCUAUUGGAGCGGCCGAUAUCAGAUUAGCUAGUUGGUGGGGUAAAAGCCUACCAAGGCGACGAUCUGUAGCUGGUCUGAGAGGACGACCAGCCACACUGGGACUGAGACACGGCCCAGACUCCUACGGGAGGCAGCAGUGGGGAAUUUUGGACAAUGGGCGAAAGCCUGAUCCAGCCAUGCCGCGUGCGGGAAGAAGGCCUUCGGGUUGUAAACCGCUUUUGUCAGGGAAGAAAAGGCUCGAACUAAUACUUUGGGCUCAUGACGGUACCUGAAGAAUAAGCACCGGCUAACCACGUGCCAGCCGCCGCGGUAAGAC